rnacentral:rRNA from 1 species
AUUGAACGCUGGCGGCAGGCCUAACACAUGCAAGUCGAGCGGAUGAAGGGAGCUUGCUCCUGGAUUCAGCGGCGGACGGGUGAGUAAUGCCUAGGAAUCUGCCUGGUAGUGGGGGAUAACGUCCGGAAACGGGCGCUAAUACCGCAUACGUCCUGAGGGAGAAAGUGGGGGAUCUUCGGACCUCACGCUAUCAGAUGAGCCUAGGUCGGAUUAGCUAGUUGGUGGGGUAAAGGCCUACCAAGGCGAGGAUCCGUAACUGGUCUGAGAGGAUGAUAAACCACACCGGAAAUGAGAAACGGUACCAGCCCCUCAGGGAGGCAGGAGGGGGGAAAUUUGGAAAAGGGGGGGAAAGCCGAUCCAGCCCUAGCCAGUGGAGGAAAAAAGCUUUCGGGUUGUAAAAGCACUUUAAGUGGGGGGAAAGGGCAAAAUUUAAAAACCGGCGUGUUUGAAGGUAACCAACAGAAAAAGCCCGGCUAAAUUCGUG